GUUCUUGUAGUUAAAGUUUGUAACGACGGCUUUUCAGGCCGUAAAUCCCGGAGAAAGGCCGGGCGGGAAUU
rnacentral:tRNA from 1 species